AGUGAACGCUGGCGGUAGGCCUAACACAUGCAAGUCGAACGGCAGCACAGUAAGAGCUUGCUCUUACGGGUGGAGAGUGGCGGACGGGUGAGGAAUACAUCGGAAUCUACUUUUUCGUGGGGGAUAACGUAGGGAAACUUACGCUAAUACCGCAAACGACCUACGGGUGAAAGCAGGAGAUCUUCGGACCUUGCGCGAUUGAAUGAGCCGAUGUCGGAUUAGCUAGUUGGCGGGGUAAAGGCCCACCAAGGCGACGAUCCGUAGCUGGUCUGAGAGGAUGAUCAGCCACACUGGAACUGAGACACGGUCCAGACUCCUACGGGAGGCAGCAGUGGGGAAUAUUGGACAAUGGGCGCAAGCCUGAUCCAGCCAUACCGCGUGUGUGAAGAAGGCCUUCGGGUUGUAAAGCCCUUUUGUUGGGAAAGAAAAGCAGCAGGUUAAUACCCCGCUGUUCUGACGUUACCCAAAGAAUAAGCACCGGCUAACUUCGUG
rnacentral:rRNA from 1 species